rnacentral:rRNA from 1 species
CCUACGGGAGGCUGCAGUGGGGAAUAUUGGACAAUGGGCGAAAGCCUGAUCCAGCCAUGCCGCGUGUGUGAAGAAGGCCUUCGGGUUGUAAAGCACUUUCAGUGGGGAAGAAAGCCUUGGGGCUAAUACCCUCGAGGAAGGACAUCACCCACAGAAGAAGCACCGGCUAACUCCGUGCCAGCAGCCGCGGUAAUACGGAGGGUGCGAGCGUUAAUCGGAAUUACUGGGCGUAAAGCGCGCGUAGGCGGUCUGAUAAGCCGGUUGUGAAAGCCCCGGGCUCAACCUGGGAACGGCAUCCGGAACUGUCAGGCUAGAGUGCAGGAGAGGAAGGUAGAAUUCCCGGUGUGGCGGUGAAAUGCGUAGAGAUCGGGAGGAAUACCAGUGGCGAAGGCGGCCUUCUGGACUGACACUGACGCUGAGGUGCGAAAGCGUGGGUAGCAAACAGGAUUAGAUACCCGUGUAGUC